UGCCAGCCGCCGCGGUAAUACGGAGGGUCCAAGCGUUAAUCGGAAUUACUGGGCGUAAAGCGCUCGUAGGCGGUUUGUUAAGUCGGAUGUGAAAGCCCCGGGCUCAACCUGGGAACUGCAUUCGAUACUGGCAAACUAGAGUAUAGAAGAGGCAAGUGGAAUUCCGGGUGUAGCGGUGAAAUGCGUAGAUACCCAGGAGAACGCCGGUGGCGAAAGCGGAUCUCUGGAGUGUUCCUGACGCUGAGGGGCGAAAGCUAGGGGAGCGAACGGGAUUAGAUA
rnacentral:rRNA from 1 species